rnacentral:rRNA from 1 species
UGGGGAAUAUUGCACAAUGGGCGGAAGCCUGAUGCAGCGACGCCGCGUGGGGGAUGAAGGCCUUCGGGUUGUAAACUCCUUUCGACAGGGACGAAGCUUUUGUGACGGUACCUGUAUAAGAAGCACCGGCUAACUACGUGCCAGCAGCCGCGGUAAUACGUAGGGUGCGAGCGUUGUCCGGAAUUACUGUGCGUAAAGAGCUCGUAGGUGGUUUGUCGAGUCGUCUGUGAAAUUCCGGGGCUUAACUCCGGGCGUGCAGGCGAUACGGGCUGACUUGAGUGCUGUAGGGGAGACUGGAAUUCCUGGUGUAGCAGUGAAAUGCGCAGAUAUCAGGAGGAACACCGAUGGCGAAGGCAGGUCUCUGGGCAGUAACUGUCGCUGAGGAGCGAAAGCAUGGGUAGCGAACAGG